CUCCUGGUAGCUUAGUUGGUUUAAAGCACAAGACUGUAAAUCUUGGGAUCGGGCGUUCGACUCGCCCCCGGGAGA